CGCGUGUCCCUGGGACUGCCGUCUCCGUGUCUCGGAUGGGAACGGAAUCCCCACCACGGCUGUGAUCGCCCGUGGCUGUGAGAUGAUGUGUGUUAAGCCUCCGUUUCGGCGCUGGGCAUGGCAAAUACAGGCAGGAUCAGGAAUAAAGGCUUGGCGACUCUCAGCAAAUGAUGACCCAUCAGCACAGCUCGGGAGAGCAGGCGGGCAGUGAAUCACCUGGCAAAUGGGAGGAAAACCCUCCAGGGCAAAAAAAAAAAAAAAAA